CUCUCCGUCUAUGUGUGUGUUUGUGUUAUUACCUGUGUGUAAAUUUUGCAGCUUUAUUUUCAAAUAUGUUAAAGUUUUUGCCUUUUCUAUUCUAAUUGCUGGUUUUUUGGUAAGUUUUUGAUGGGUGAAUGGCACAUGUGUUGAGUAUUGUUCGGGGUUUCUUUUUUUUGUGGUUUGUUUGUAUUUUUAGAUGUUGAUAAUAAUGUCUUCGAGUAGGAG
rnacentral:misc_RNA from 1 species